rnacentral:rRNA from 1 species
AACGAACGCUGGCGGCAGGCUUAACACAUGCAAGUCGAACGCGUGUAGCAAUACACGAGUGGCGCACGGGUGAGUAACGCGUGGAUAUCUGCCUUUUGGUUCGGAAUAACUCCGGGAAACUGGAGCUAAUACCGGAUGGUUCCUUCGGGAUAAAGAUUUAUCGCCAAAAGAUGAGUCCGCGUACGAUUAGCUAGUUGGUGAGGUAAUGGCUCACCAAGGCGACGAUCGUUAGCUGGUCUGAGAGGACGAUCAGCCACACUGGGACUGAGACACGGCCCAGACUCCUACGGGAGGCAGCAGUGGGGAAUAUUGGACAAUGGGGGCAACCCUGAUCCAGCCAUGCCGCGUGCGUGAUGAAGGCCUUCGGGUUGUAAAGCUCUUUUGGCGGGGACGAUGAUGACGGUACCCGCAGAAUAAGCCCCGGCUAACUUCGUGCCAGCAGCCGCCGCGG